CAGUGCAGUCAUCCAUAAAGUAGAAAGCACUACUAAACUCCUUGCCAAAGUGUAGUGUUUCCUACUUUAUGGAUGAGUGUACUGU
rfam:Oryzias latipes DNA, chromosome14, strain: Hd-rR.